rnacentral:misc_RNA from 1 species
ACACGCGCCCACCAUCGUGGAUGGGCAGGUGUGCUUCGGUGGUCAGCGCCUCUGGUCUUCUCCCUUUCUCCACAACUUCGCAUUCCGAAUCAAGCGAAUGCGUGCACGUCUUUCGCGGCUGGCCGACUCUCGGUCCCGUGAUCGAAGGCGGCAUGAUGCGCAACGUCAUCAUUGUGUGUUACCAUGCUGUCAUUGAGAAUGCAAUGUCCUUGACGAUGGAGACGAUCACCUGACCUGGGUUGGGCAACAGGGCAAUUAUGGUGGAGCUGGCCCUCGACUUGCUUGACGAGGACGCGAAGGCGAGCACUGUCGAGGUCUUCGACAUCGCCACAGCCAGUACCCCAGCAACGACGGCUGCCGCCGCCGCCUCACCGGCCCCUCGUCACCCGACUCGGCGCUGUGUUCAAGGAAGCUCGGCAACUACCACAAGCUCCGUCAAGAAAAAAGGUGCGCUUCUGGGCCGAAGAACGUAUCACGUCUUGAUGCAGCGGGCCGACGGCUACAAUGCAGAACUGAUGAAGAGGCUGCAGAUCAACUCCAAGGGCUACGACACGCUCCUCUCCGUCCUUUGCUCUUCCUUCUUCCGCAAGAAGCUCAAUAAGCCUACCACCAUCGCGUUUAGCGACCCCAUCGUGCAGCAUAUGGCCGCAGAGCGCUAACUUGGCACACGCGCUCCAGCCGACAUUGUGAAGUGUGGUCACCUUCUCCACCUAGCAGCAGACGCAGCACUGAAGACGGAUGGGGCGACACCCAAGUCACAGCCAAAGCCGCAGCGGCAGCAAGCAGCCGUUCCGCAGCAACCGUAAGACAGAGAACAAGGGUUACAGGUAAGCGGCUGUGUCUGUGCGUUGAAGUGGGCCGGUGCUGCUGCCAGUGCUGCGCGCCGUGACUAGCGUCUCACGCCCUCCCGUAUUUCUCGCAGCCUCCCUUUCCGCUUCUACGCCAAGCAGUCGAUCAGGCUUGUCGCGCCUAUGCGGGGAAGAUGCCCGUUGAAUGCGGGGAGUGGGGGAGGUGACGGAAGCCAACGCACGAGGGAUACCGCGACGGUGUCAAUGCUGUCGGCAGUGGUGAGUGCCCAUGUGAUGGGACGUGUUGGUGGGCUUGUGUGUGCACUCUGCGUUGGUGUUCAAUACGGUUCAGGUGAACAACAAGCGAACAGCGAGAGCGGA